UACGUAGGCAGCGAGCGUUGUUCGGAUUUACUGGGCGUAAAGGGCGCGUAGGCGGCAAUUCAAGUCAUCUGUGAAAUCUCCGGGCUUAACUCGGAAUGGUCAGGUGAUACUGCUUUGCUAGAGUGCAGAAGGGGCAAUCGGAAUUCUUGGUGUAGCGGUGAAAUGCGUAGAUAUCAAGAGGAACACCUGAGGUGAAGACGGGUUGCUGGGCUGACACUGACGCUGACAGCGCGAAAGCUAGGGGAGCAAACGGG
rnacentral:rRNA from 1 species